CCCCUUUCAAGAUCACAACUGGAGAGUUUCCAGUACUCUACCAGCCUUGGCUAUGGGAGGGAGAGUCAAGCAGAUGCAUACCCAUUCCACUCCUAGUUUGGGCAGAGGGUAGGCAGUGGAAGGCAAUCUGCUACAAGU